CCUGCUCUCCCGCUCUCUCUCUCUCUCUCUCACUAUAGAGGCUCCCACAGCAGUUCCCAGCCAGUGUGUUCAGCCUGCCUGCCUGCCUGCCUCUGUGUGUGUGUGUGAGCGUGUGUGCGUGCGUCUACUUUGUACUGUGAAGAACACAGCCCAUGUGCUCUGCAUGGACGUUACUGAUACUCUCUUUAGCUUGAUUUUCGACAAGCAGGCAAGAUGUCCAGCACACCACAUGACCCCUUCUAUUCUUCUCCUUUCGGCCCAUUUUAUAGGAGACAUACACCAUACAUGGUACAGCCAGAGUACCGAAUCUAUGAGAUGAACAAGAGACUGCAGUCUCGCACAGAGACAAGGAAACCGAAGCUCAGAGAAGUGAAGACUGUCUGAAUCCAUACAUGGACACCCUGGGACUUGAAUCCCCAGGGGCUGGAUCUUCUAACUCCCCCAUUCAUUGUUCCUUGCUGAAGCAUGCUGGUGAGGCCAUGUUACCUUCUAACUGUCCACUCCCUAUUGGAGGCCCUGACAGCACGUCAGCAUCACUUUUGACCUGCCUAAGUUGAAAUUUUAGUUUUCCAAUGAAAAAUAGAAGACUUAUUAGUAUUAAAGAUUUGGCAGACCCCUCUGAAAGAGAGGGACCUACUCUGUUCUGGGGACAUUACAAGCCCCCAUCCUCUCUUUUCUGGAUUGCCAUGUCCUCUUAACUGCACUCCCUGAUCCCUCAUUCCACCUUAUAAUCCACUCACUGAAAGCAGCCAGGGUGGCAUUUUUGAUGCAUAAAUCAGUCCAUGUGACCCCAGCUUCCCCUCACACCUACAACAAGUGCUAAACUUCUCCCACUAGCUUUAAAGUUUUAUUGAUCAGUUCCUUCUUGAUGGUCCAGUCUUAUCUCCUACCACGUGUUCACUAGACUCAAGCCAUGAGGGGCUUCCUUUGGAUCUAUUAGCUUGCUGAGUUGCUUCACAUCUCAGGGCCUUUGUCCUCAGUAGUGGAAUGGGUACAUGGCUUCCUCCAUAAUAACUCAUUUAAGGAUUGGAAGAACUAAUUUGAAUUAGAAUUUGGCAUGGUACUGCUUUAUUUGCAGGCAAUCAAUUAGAGAGUCCCAGCACUUAGGAGGUCCUCUACUGACCAACUUAGGUGCCCCCAUCAAAGAGAGACCUUCCUCAAUCACCUCAAUUAAAAUGAACCCCCAAUCACUUUCUAUUGCAUCCCUCUUCAUUUUCUUCUUAGAAAUUACUGCCAGCUGAUGUUUUCUUGCUGCUUCUUUGUUUCCUAAGUGCUGCCUGUCCUCAACAGAAUAUAAGCCCUGUGAGGGCAGGAACCUGGUGGCUCUGUUGAUAGUUGUCCCUCCAAUGCCCUGCAGCAUGUAGCUGUCAUGCAAAAUGUAUUUGUUGAAUAAAGGAAAUUAAGUUUCACCUGUCCUAGGAAAAAUGAAUAUACUCACAUAAAAAAUUUCUAUUGGUGAAACUAGUACUUCCAGACCGACACUGCAGUUUGCCCUGAAUCUGACCAACAAUUGCCUACAGUCCCAGCUGGAGAAGAAUCUGAGAGCCUAAUAGACCAGUUGGUGUUCACUGGUAGACUGCAUAGCCAGACCUGCCAGAAAAAGCCCUGAGAAAGAACAAUUUCGUCUGUGAAAGAAGUGCUGACCUGAGAACUGUGCCCUUUGGGUAGUGUAGAUCUGUUGGGAAUCUCCUGACUUCUGAUUAAAAAUAUUUAUACUUGC